GGUUAAGCGACUAAGCGUACACGGUGGAUGCCCUGGCAGUCAGAGGCGAUGAAGGACGUGCUAAUCUGCGAUAAGCGUCGGUGAGGUGAUAUGAACCGUUAUAACCGGCGAUUUCCGAAUGGGGAAACCCAGUGUGUUUCGACACACUAUCAUUAACUGAAUCCAUAGGUUAAUGAGGCGAACCGGGGGAACUGAAACAUCUAAGUACCCCGAGGAAAAGAAAUCAACCGAGAUUCCCCCAGUAGCGGCGAGCGAACGGGGAGGAGCCCAGAGCCUGAAUCAGUGUGUGUGUUAGUGGAAGCGUCUGGAAAGGCGCGCGAUACAGGGUGACAGCCCCGUACACAAAAAUGCACAUAUUGUGAGCUCGAUGAGUAGGGCGGGACACGUGGUAUCCUGUCUGAAUAUGGGGGGACCAUCCUCCAAGGCUAAAUACUCCUGACUGACCGAUAGUGAACCAGUACCGUGAGGGAAAGGCGAAAAGAACCCCG
rnacentral:rRNA from 1 species